rnacentral:rRNA from 1 species
UACGUAGGGGGCAAGCGUUGUCCGGAUUUAUUGGGCGUAAAGAGCGUGUAGGCGGCCACGCAGGUCCGUUGUGAAAACUGGAGGCUCAACCUCCAGACGUCGACGGAAACCGUAUGGCUAGAGUCCGGAAGAGGAGAGUGGAAUUCCUGGUGUAGCGGUGGAAAUGCGCAGAUAUCAGGAAGAACACCAAUGGCGAAGGCAGCUCUCUGGGACGGUACUGACGCUGGAGAGCGAAACUGGGGAGCGAACGGAUAGAAACCCUUGA